UGACUCUGCAGUCAAGAGCACUUGCUGCUCUUGCAGAGGACCUGAGUUCUAGUCCCAGCAUCUACAUGGUGGCUCGCAAUCGUCCAUAACUCCAGCUCCAGAUUUCCUGGCAUACAGUGCUGCACAGGCAAAAUAUGGAUGUGUGUGUGUGUGUGUGUGUAUACAUUUAUAUAUACAUUUGUGUAUAUGUGUACAUAUUAUGUGCAUGUGUAUAUGCACAUAUAUAAUACCAUAUGUGUGUGUGUGUGUGUGUGUGUAAAGAAAAAAGUUGGAAAUCAGAUAAAGGUAGGUAAACAUAUUUUUGAAUUGGCAUGUUUUAAAUUUUAUCUUUAUUCCACUGUGAAUAACUAGUUAGCUUAAUAUCUUUGUUUCUAUGGUUAUUUUGUCAUUUUAAAACAACAUUGUUCUUAAGAGAAUCCUUACCUGUCUUUCCUUUUUUAUUGAGUGUAAAAGUUAGCAUACAGUAUUUAGUCAUUUAGUAAGUCUAGAAACUUGGCUUUGCAGACAGCCAGGUAGCAAAACAUUCAUAUACGCUUGACAUUAUAUGUUAUAUUCAUAUAUGCUUGACAUUAUAUAUUAUAUUCAUAUGUGCUUGACAUGAUAUAGAUCCUUUUCAAUAUAAAGGGUUGUGAUAGGAUGUACAUUGCGUUUAUGAAAAUGUGGUUUUUUGAGAAUUUAACUUACUUUGUAUGAGUCGUCAAUAAAUGAAAGUUCUUCUUUAAAAAGAAGUAGAUUGCUUAAGUAUGUUACAUGAUUUAUGUGUUUUUAAGAUGCCUGUGUGACUCAUUCCUAAAACUUUACUAGAAACAGUGAGGUAUAAGAAAAAAGUAGUGAUAAAUAUUGAUUUAGGUUAAAUUUAGGUUUCUGGGUUGGUAAAAUAAAGAAUGAGAAUUAUGUAUGUAGUUAUAUGUUCAACUACUCUUAUUUUUUACUGCAGUUGUUAUUGUAACUCUCCCCCCCACACACACACCUUAACUUUUUAAGUCAGAACUUUUAAUUGUCCCUGUUAUUAAGCACAGAGCCAGAACUAUAAAAGGAUGGGUUAAGGGAUAAGACUUGAAUUUGGUUGACACUGUACACACUUUACCACAUAAUCCCCACUGUAACAGUUUCAGUUUGGGGUCUAAGAGUAAAGAUUAAUAAAUAAUUGAACAAAGGACAGCUUAAGAAAGCUAGAAAACUUAAAAUCCUGAUUCGUGUCUUUAACAGGGUGGCUGCAUUAUAUUUUGAAGUAUUGUGACUAUCCAAAACAUCAGACACAUCUACAUUAAAUGUAAGUGUGGUAAAGGCUUCAUGGUAUAGGGCUUGCCAUAGGAGACUUUUUAUGUCUCUAUUGGAGCAUCUCUUGACAUCUCCCAUAUUCCCAAGUCCUUCAGGGAUGGGGAGAAGGAAAAGUUUCAGCACAAAGAACUUUAAAUACAGAAAAGUGUAGACACAAUUGAUAGUCUCUUAUUGCCCACUCAUUGAAAAGGAAGGAAAUUUUAUAGUAGGACAGAAAAUAAUGAGUAAUUCAGUUUGUAACAUGUAAGCAAGC
rnacentral:lncRNA from 1 species